UACGGGGGGGGCAAGCGUUGUUCGGAAUUACUGGGCGUAAAGGGCUCGUAGGCGGCCAACUAAGUCAGACGUGAAAUCCCCAGGCUCAACCUGGGAACUGCGUUUGAUACUGAUUGGCUUGAAUCCGGGAGAGGGAUGCAGAAUUCCAGGUGUAGCGGUGAAAUGCGUAGAUAUCUGGAGGAACACCGGUGGCGAAGGCGGCAUCCUGGACCGGUAUUGACGCUGAGGCGCGAAAGCCAGGGGAGCAAACGGG
rnacentral:rRNA from 1 species